GACGAACGCUGGCGGCGUGCUUAACACAUGCAAGUCGAAGGAUGAAGCUAGAGCUUGCUCUGGUGGAUUAGUGGCGAACGGGUGAGUAACAAGUGAGUAACAUGCCCCGAACUCUGGGAUAACUGAUGGAAACGGUAGCUAAUACUGGAUACGACCAACGAAGGAAUAUUCUGUUGGUGGAAAGAAUUUCGGUUCGGGAUGGACUUGCGGCCUAUCAGCUUGUUGGUGAGGUAACGGCUCACCCAGGCGACGAAGGGUAGCCGGCCUGAGAGGGUGAUCGGCCACACGGGGACUGAGACACAGCCCAUGCUCCUACGUGAGGCAACAGUGGGGAAUAUUGCACAAUGUGCGCAAGCCUGAUGCAGCAACGCCGCGUGAGGGACGACGUCCUUCGUGUUUUAAUCCUCUUUUAUUAGGGAAGAAGCGAAAGUGACGGUACCUGCAUAAAAAGCACCGGCUAACUACGUGCCAGCCGCCGCCGUAA
rnacentral:rRNA from 1 species